GAGGGUAUAGUUCAGUGGUAGAGCACAUGCUUAGUAUGCUUGAGGUCCUGGAUUCAUUCCCCAGUACCUCCU
rfam:Camelus ferus unplaced genomic scaffold scaffold720, whole genome shotgun sequence.